AUCGCUUCUCGGCUCCUCUUGAGCUAAGAUCAAAAGUGUAGUAUCUGUUCUUAUCAGCUUAAUAUCUGAUACAGCCUCCAUAGGAGGCUCAGUAUAUUAAACUGUUUUUUGAGACCAGGCGGGUGCCAGGAGCUUGCUCCGACCUUGCCACGGGUCGACCCUGCAUUUGCAUUACAGCAGGGUCUGGCCCAGCAAUU
rnacentral:snRNA from 1 species